rnacentral:lncRNA from 1 species
UAGACUGGGGGUGGAAGGAUGGAGAGCAGAUGCGUCUGAGCUAGAUUAAAUGUGGAAGAUGUAAUCCAUUGGAUUCACGAGGUGAGGACUGUAGGAUGAGGGCUCAUGUUGGUGCAUUGUAGGGUAGAAAAUGUCAAACAUUUGUUUAAAAUGACCCGUGACAAAAUAAAUAUUAAAAUGUUGUUGAACUUUGAAAAUAACAUCUUGGUGGGUGGGCUCGCAGCUGUCAACUUUUUAACGGAGAGUACCGAUAUUGGUGGUUGAUUUAAGAAAGAAGUUGAUGAAAGAACACCAAAAACUUUUUGAUGAGAUUUUUGUGUACACAGUUUUGGUGUAUCUGGGUGCAGUGAAAUGACACGAUGAAACUGGUGGAGCACGUCAUCGGCAUUGUUAUUUGAUUUUGCAAGGAUGGAAGAAGCUUUAGGCCGUCAACAUCUUUUCUCUUAUACUUAUAUUUAUAAGUCAAAUUUUAAAUUUUAAAACUUAAAUUUAGAGUUGAUUUUAGAGUUUCUUCUUCAUAGUUUGUUUUUCAACGUUUGCUUUAGAUUGCUAAGAACAUAUAUAUAGAAAAUUAAUUAUGAAUUAUUUUUAAUUAUUAGUAAUUUGUUUUGAUUAUGCUUAAUAUAAGGGCAAGGAACAUCUCUCCUUAAAAUGGAAAACGAAAUG